UACGGAGGGUGCAAGCGUUAAUCGGAAUCACUGGGCGUAAAGCGCACGUAGGCGGUCUGGUAAGUCAGACGUGAAAGCCCUCGGCUUAACCGAGGAACUGCGUUUGAAACUGCUGGACUUGAGUGCCGGAGAGGGUGGCGGAAUUCCAGGUGUAGGAGUGAAAUCCGUAGAUAUCUGGAGGAACACCGGUGGCGAAGGCGGCCACCUGGACGGCAACUGACGCUGAGGUGCGAAAGCGUGGGGAGCAAACAGGAUUAGAAACCCCAGUAGUCC
rnacentral:rRNA from 1 species